rnacentral:rRNA from 1 species
UGCCUGCCCAGUGAUAUGAAAAAAUUAAACGGCUGCGGUACUCUGACCGUGCAAAGGUAGCAUAAUCAUUAGCCUGUUAAUUUCAGGCUGGAAUCAACGGCAAGACGAAGAAAAAGCUGUCUCUUUCUAUUAUUUUAGAAUUUUUCUUUUUGGUGAAGAGACCAAAAUAUUUGAGUGGGACGAGAAGACCCUAUUGAGUUUUAGUAAUUCUUUAAAAAAUUUUUUUUAAAGAAUUACUUUGGUUGGGGCAACUGUUAGUAAAAUUAAACAUUGAUAAAGCAUAAAUGAAUUAAAUCUAAGUUAAAUCCAAAAUUUUAUUUUGAAAUUAAAAAAAAUUACCUUAGGGAUAACAGCGUAAUUCUUUUUGAGAGUGCAUAUUGACAAAAGAGUUUGCGACCUCGAUGUUGGAUCAAGUUUUCCUGAAGGUGCAGUAGCUUUCAAUGGUUGGUUUGUUCAACCAUAAAAAUCUU